CAGGAGGCCCAGGCAGCAACAUUGCCUGGCUGAAGGGCUGCUGAGAAUGACCUGGAGAUGGUUGAAUAAUUGUAGCCUAAUGGAACUCUAUACCUCCUAACGGUGACUCCAUUUACACCCCCUGAAGAAGAACGCUGAGGAUGUCAGCCAAUCAUCUUCACAAUCAAAAGUACACAAGAAAACUAAGUGAACACAGGCAAUAGCUUAAUACUGAAGUGUUUGAUCCACUUUGCCUGAAGACUUCUACAACUGGAAAACUUGGACUUCAAACAGAAUAAAGUUUUUCAUGCAAGGUGUCAUAUCAAAAACAGGCACCCCAAAAGGAAUAUUUGUUUCCAAAAAGUCUGUGCCAUUGAGAUGGAAGAAAAAACAAAAACUGAAUGAUGUAGAAAGAAAUGGUAGGAAAAUGACAAUGGAAGAAAAGUAUGCCCUCCUCCACAUGUUAUAUGAAAAAAGUUGAUGUGACAGUUUUCAAAUGCCAGUGCUGAAUACAAAUAUCUAGCACAUUUUCUUUUAACAGAGCUUUUUUCAAAUCUGAAAAUAAAGCCACUGAUUUUUAGGAAGGUCUGCAAAGACAAUUACUACUUAAAAUACACAAGUUAAACUAAAGUUACUAUGCAGACAUGCUCAAGGACUACCACUUUCCGAGCUCGUGUCAUUUUGCAAAAAAUUAACCAUUCAAAUUUGUAAAGAGAAAGUAGAGGAUUCCUGAUGUAAAACAUCUCUGAAAGUCUUAAUAUUUAAGCGGCACGGUCUUCAUUUUUAUACAUCUGCUUAAAUGUGCACCCUCCUUCAGUUCAAAUUGGCAAUUUUCCAAAGUUUUGUUGGUAAGCCAGCAUCAUGCUGUCAGUCAUGAAUACCUAGACCUACUUUUUCCCAUUUUGCA